rnacentral:rRNA from 1 species
UACGUAGGACCCAAGCGUUAUCCGGAGUGACUGGGCGUAAAGAGUUGCGUAGGUGGUCAGUAAAGUGAAUAGUGAAAUCUGGUGGCUCAACCAUACAGGCUAUUAUUCAAACUCACAGACUCGAGAAUGGUAGAGGUAACUGGAAUUUCUAGUGUAGGAGUAAAAUCCGUAGAUAUUAGAAGGAACACCAAUGGCGUAGGCAGGUUACUGGACCAUUUCUGACACAGAGGCACGAAAGCGUGGGGAGCGAACCGG